GACCUAGUGGUGUAGUGGUAACAUAUCAAUAUGUACUGUCCAGUCAUGAUCCCCUGUUCAACUCAGGGCUAGGUCA